rfam:Ricinus communis cultivar Hale ctg_1100012302599, whole genome shotgun sequence.
AGCCAUGCAGUAAGCACAAAGCGAACUAUUCUUUCGCCUUUUACUAAAGAAUACCGUGUGCUUGCUGUUUACAGUGGCAUACAAUGAUUUUUGGAAGGGCCGUAUUCUUAUUAGAGUU